rnacentral:rRNA from 1 species
CAACCUGCCGAUAACUCGGGGAUAGCCUUUCGAAAGAAAGAUUAAUAUCCGAUGGUAUAUUUUCUCCGCAUGGUGAGAAUAUUAAAGAAUUUCGGUUAUCGAUGGGGAUGCGUUCCAUUAGUUUGUUGGCGGGGUAACGGCCCACCAAGACCACGAUGGAUAGGGGUUCUGAGAGGAAGGUCCCCCACAUUGGAACUGAGACACGGUCCAAACUCCUACGGGAGGCAGCAGUGAGGAAUAUUGGUCAAUGGACGAGAGUCUGAACCAGCCAAGUAGCGUGAAGGAUGACUGCCCUAUGGGUUGUAAACUUCUUUUAUAUGGGAAUAAAGUGUUCCACGUGUGGGAUUUUGUAUGUACCAUAUGAAUAAGGAUCGGCUAACUCCGUGCCAGCAGCCGCGGUAAUACGGAGGAUCCGAGCGUUAUCCGGAUUUAUUGGGUUUAAAGGGAGCGUAGGUGGAUUGUUAAGUCAGUUGUGAAAGUUUGCGGCUCAACCGUAAAAUUGCAGUUGAAACUGGCAGUCUUGAGUACAGUAGAGGUGGGCGGAAUUCGUGGUGUAGCGGUGAAAUGCUUAGAUAUCACGAAGAACUCCGAUUG